UACAGAGGUCUCAAGCGUUGUUCGGAUUCAUUGGGCGUAAAGGGGGCGUAGGUGGCGCCGUAAGUCGGGUGUGAAAUUUCGGAGCUUAACUCCGAAACUGCAUUCGAUACUGCGGUGCUUGAGGACUGGAGAGGAGACUGGAAUUCAUGGUGUAGCAGUGAAAUGCGUAGAGAUCAUGAGGAAGACCAGUGGCGAAGGCGGGUCUCUGGACAGUUCCUGACACUGAGACACGAAGGCCAGGGGAGCAAACGGG
rnacentral:rRNA from 1 species